rnacentral:rRNA from 1 species
ACUCCAUGAAGCUGGAUUCGCUAGUAAUCGCGCAUCAGCCACGGCGCGGUGAAUACGUUCCCGGGCCUUGUACACACCGCCCGUCAAGCCAUGGAAGCCGGGAGUGCCUGAAGUGCGUGACCGCAAGGAGCGUCCUAAGGCAAUGCCGGUGACUGGGGCUAAGUCGUAACAAGGUAUC